rnacentral:misc_RNA from 1 species
GAUGAGAACGUAGCGAAAUGCGAUAAGUAAUGUGAAUUGCAGAAUUCAGUGAAUCAUCGAAUCUUUGAACGCACCUUGCGCCUUUUGGUAUUCCGAAAGGCACACCUGUUUGAGCGUCAUGAAUACCUCAAUCUCCAUCUUUUCUUCGGAUUGAUGGGUGACUUGGAUGUUGAGCCCUGCUGGUAUGCUAUAUCAGCUGGCUUUAAACUUAUUAGCCGGCUCUGUACUGGAUCGGUUUGACUCGACGUGAUAAUAUUAUCGUUGAGGAUGCAUGUCUCAUGCAGCCGGAAAGUAUCAAAGCAGCUUCUAGCUUGCCUUUAGUGCACUUUUACAUUUUAGACCUCAGAUCAGGUGGGACUACCCGCUGAACUUAAGCAUAUCAAUAAGCGGAGGA